UCAUAAUGCAUUCUGGGUAAAUUUGUUUGAGCGGGAAAAUUUUACAGUAUAUUUUGGUCUUGAUGUAACCUUGCUGUAGCCAUUGCUGUAAUGUGCCAGGUGUACUUGCAAUAAUCAGAGAAAGUGCGCCAGAGUCAAAUCACACAGAGGGAGAGAGAGCACAACUCCUGGCUGCAGCUGAAGGAGGACGAUUGAUUUCUGGCAGUUCGUCUUACCAUUGCUUGUAAGCUGGAUUGGGUAAGAUGGAUCAUCUUUAAAGGCACCAGGAGUUAAGGCAGAUGUGGAGGCACAACGUGUGAUACCAGACACACACCAAGCACAUUAUGUUCGGACAUUCAAUCAUGACAUGAUCCAUGUGGAUGCUGUCCAUUGAGGAAAGAGUUUGUUCCAAGGUUUCUGGAUAGAAUUAAUUCCAAAGAUGGGAAAAAGUGCACAUCCAGACAAGGAGCAAGCAAAAAGACAAGGAACUUGGUGCAGAGAAAAGCUGUGGCCAUUAACCCCCAUGUGAACAGCUUCAUGCAGUCCCUGAUUGAGUUCGAAUGGACGACUUCAAAGUAAAGGCCACUGUGGUCUGUCUGCCACAGUUUAAUGCAUUUAUUUUUAGUGUUAAAUGAAAUUCAAGUAGAAUAUUUAAAACUAUGGGCCAGUGUUCUUUUUACCACAGUGAAAUGUUACCUUUUAGUCGAUGAUGGACUUUAAACUGAAAACUUCAAACUAUGGAACAGUGUUCUAUUUGCCAGAGUUAAAUAUGUUACAG